rnacentral:misc_RNA from 1 species
AAGACUAUAGACCUGCGGAGUACCUGCGGAAGGAUCAUUAUCGUAUUGUAACAAUUGGGGGGGCCACCGUGGGCUGUCGCUGACCCUUUGAAAGGGGGGUCGUGCACGCCCCCAUAGUGUCAUCCUCAUACAAUCCAACUCACCUCUGUGCAUCACCGCGUGGGUUCCUUUCUGGGUCGAGUCAGACUGGCUCAGAAAAAAGGGGCUUGCGUUUUCCAUACAAAUACCCUCAUAAAUCCA